rnacentral:rRNA from 1 species
UACGUAGGGUGCGAGCGUUAAUCGGAAUUACUGGGCGUAAAGGGCGCGUAGGCGGCCAUCUAAGUCAGACGUGAAAUCCCUCGGCUCAACCGAGGAACUGCGUCUGAUACUGGAAGGCUUGAAUCCGGGAGAGGGAUGUGGAAUUCCAGGUGUAGCGGUGAAAUGCGUAGAUAUCAGGAGGAACACCGAUGGCGAAGGCAGGUCUCUGGGCCACUACUGACGCUGAGAAGCGAAAGCAUGGGGAGCGAACAGG